rnacentral:SRP_RNA from 1 species
GGGUAAGUCCUGUACGACCAGCUCCCUCUGAAUCCCCCCAGGGUCGGAAGGCAGCAAGGGUAGGAGGUUGUAGCGGUGCGAUACAGGUAGCUUACCCACU